AGUGAACGCUGGCGGUAGGCCUAACACAUGCAAGUCGAACGGCAGCACAGUAAGAGCUUGCUCUUACGGGUGGCGAGUGGCGGACGGGUGAGGAAUACAUCGGAAUCUACUUUUUCGUGGGGGAUAACGUAGGGAAACUUACGCUAAUACCGCAUACGACCUACGGGUGAAAGCAGGGGAUCUUCGGACCUUGCGCGAUUGAAUGAGCCGAUGUCGGAUUAGCUAGUUGGCGGGGUAAAGGCCCACCAAGGCGACGAUCCGUAGCUGGCCUGAGAGGAUGACCAGCCACACUGGAACUGAGACACGGUCCAGACUCCUACGGGAGGCAGCAGUGGGGAAUAUUGGACAAUGGGCGCAAGCCUGAUCCAGCCAUACCGCGUGGGUGAAGAAGGCCUUCGGGUUGUAAAGCCCUUUUGUUGGGAAAGAAAAGCAGCAGGUUAAUACCCCGCUGUUCUGACGGUACCCAAAGAAUAAGCACCGGCUAACUUCGUG
rnacentral:rRNA from 1 species